rnacentral:tRNA from 1 species
UCUAAUAUGGCAGAAAUAUAUGCAAUGAACUUAAGAUUCAUUUAUAAAGAAUAAUCUUUUUUUAGAA